rnacentral:piRNA from 1 species
UUCAUACAUAGUCAAUAAAUU